rnacentral:lncRNA from 1 species
GUUUCUCAUCUCUGGAUGUCUUCCUGAAGAGUGUCAUGGAGGAAUCCCUUCUCAGUAAAAAUGGUCACCUGGACCUGUUUGUUCGCUUCCUUCAUGGACUCUCUCUGGAGUCAAACCAGAGACUCUUAGGAGGUCUGCUGGGUCACACAGACAACAGUCCAGAAAUGAUCCAAAGAGUCAUGAAGAACCUGAAGGAGAUGAACAGUGAAGAUAUCUCUCCUGACAGAAGCAUCAACAUCUUCCACUGUCUGAUGGAGAUGAACGAUCUGUCGGUUCAUCAGGAGAUUCAAGAGUUCCUGAAGUCAGAGAACAGAUCAGUGAAGUUCCUCUCAGAGAUCCACUGCUCUGCUCUGGCCUACAUGCUGCAGAUGUCAGAGAAGGUUCUGGAUGAGUUGGACUUAAGGAACUAUAACACAUCAAACCAGGGACGACUGAGACUGAUCCCAGCUGUGAGGAUCUGCAGAAAGGCUGAGUAAGUCCAGGUUUUAUUCUCAGAAUAGUGUAAAUGAUCCCUGUAGUUCUUCUAAUGUCCACGUUACUGAUGAUGUUCUUCUUCAAAUAGAAAUCCACUCAAAUAUCAGGGAGGGGGUUUCUUUAGCAAAAACAUGAUCCUGGUGUCUAAAGUCCUGUUAGCCCAGGAUGAGGUCUACCUGUGGACCCCUGAGAACUUGUCCUGAUUGUGGAGGACCUCUUUGUUUUGAAUCGUGUCUGUAAUGAAUAAAGUCGAACUUUCAGGACAAAUCAGCGACCAUAUCUGAGGACACACAGAGGUCUUCUGAUGAUGGUAUCAGUCCAGAUCAACAUGUCAGUCAACAGCAGAGAGAGAGAGAGAUGACCAGAGCCCAAAGACAGAGGUUCAGUGGGUCUUUGUUUCUGUCUCUUAAAGGUCUCUCUGGAUUCAUCAGGCUUUAUAAACUUGUUUCUGCUGCUGAAGGGAAUGUUACAUGAAGAAAAAACUUUUAUUGUGAAAACAAAGAAAUCUUCAAAGUCUUCAAAUGUUCAGAGUCAAACCAGCUCUAACCUGCUAAAAAACGAUUUGAUCUGAACCAAUCAUAGAAAAAGGAGCUGCUGCUGUGAUUUAGUGAGUCGUCCUCUGAUUGGUCAACAGUCAGUGUCUAUGGACAGACUUACAUUACAGCAGGAUGUCAACAUUAAACACUGAGAGGAGCACUGAUUCUCCAAGAGGUACUUUGGAUACUAACCAAUCACAUACCAGGACCAAAAACCUGGUUCUCAGUCCCCUUCUCCAACCAGAACUCAAGAAUUCACUCAGUCAUAAUGAUCCAGCUGCACUAACAUGAAGACAACACUGUUAGAGAACAGAAGGACUAAAAUAAGUCAUGGAGUCAUUUGUCUUGAACAUCUGAACAGUUUUUUUUUCUUCUAAACUUUGACUUCCUGUCUUCUCUCAUGGCUGUGGUCCUGAUAUUAGUAUCUGUCUGGUUAAAAACAGGCCGUCUGUCAAACCAAAGAUCAUGUUUGAGUCAUUUUUGGUGAAGAGAAACAUCAAAUACUCUUCAGUUAAAUAUUGUUUGAUAUUUAUGUUGUUACAGAUUUUCUAACUGUGGACUCUCAGAGACUCACUAUGAAGUUGUGGCCUCAGCUCUGAAGUCCAACUCCUCCUAUCUGAGAUAUCUGGACCUGGCUUUAAACGAUCUGCAGGAUUCAGGAGUGAAGCUGCUCUCUGCAGGACUGGAGAGUCCAAACUGCAGACUGGAGACUCUGUUGUGAGACACCAUUUCCUUCUGAUCUAACAAUAAGAUGUGACAGUUGCUGCCUUAGAUUUUUCUCUGUGGUUUUUCCAUCAACUUUGGUCGAGCAGUUUUUUUCCUCUGCUUUCGAUUUUUUGAUAGUUUUGUUGUAUACUGCAUUUAUACAUCAUUGCUAUUGCUGCAGUGUUAUUUGUUUGUUUUUCUGAUAUGUAAAAACUUAAAAUAUUGUUUAAAAAAAAAAAGGGAAAGUUCUUUGAUGUCCUUCAGGGGCUCAAGAACACUGAAUCAUUAAAAGCAGAAAAAGUUUCUUCAGAGGUGAAAUGAUUUUUCCUUUUUUCAGACUGAUGAACUGCAGUUUGUCAGAGAUCAGCUUUUCUUCUCUGGCCUCAGCUCUGAAGUCCAACCCCUCCCAUCUGAGAGAGCUGGACCUGGGUGACAACAAUCUGCAGGAUUCAGGAGUGAAGCUGCUGUGUGAUUAUCUGCAGGGUCCAAACUGUAAACUGGAGACUCUGAUGUAAGUUUAGUCUUUGUCUGUUUCUGGUGUAGAUUCAUUUUUUUUAACCCAAUUCAAGUGUUCAUAGAAUUCUUUAAUGUUUUCAGAACUUAAUUCUUGCUCACAUAGUGCUGACAGUAGAGACAACAUAGUCUGUUCUGGGUUGAGUGUUAUUGUUGAAGAUCAGUGUACAGUGAGGGAUGAAGGCCGUUCAAGUUCAUUUUGAAGACUUUUUACCUUUUGUUGACCUAAGCGCUGGCCAAACCAGUGCUCCAUCACAUUUGAUGUCUUGUCUGUUAUUUUACAUGGAGGGUCAGAGCAGACCAGAUAAUGAGCUCUGACAGACUGGAUCUGGUCCAAAGGUCUCCUGUUGAAGUUCUUUAAGCUCAAUUUUUUAAACCUGAACACCUGAAGUUUGAUUAUUAAUUAUUUUGAUCCUCAUUCUCUUUCCUUUUUUCAGACUGAGGCACUGCAGUUUGUCAGAGAUCAGCUGUUCUUCUCUGGCCUCAGCUCUGAAGUUCAACCCCUCCCAUCUGAGACAUCUGGACCUGAGAGAAAACAAACUGCAGGAUUCAGGAGUGAAGCUGCUGUGUGACUUUCUGCAGAGUCCAAACUGUAAACUGGAGACUCUGAGGUCAGACUUUUUUCCUCCAUUCAAACAUUAUCAUGAUUUGUUUGUGAUGAUGACACUAAACUGCUGACUCAGGACUGAAAUACUGACCCAGACUGAACACCUUCAGUCCAGAGUAGAUUUUCUGCAUCAGUGGAUUAUUUGAUUGACUCCAGUUCGAUCACUGCUGAGCUCCAGUGAAUUAAAACCUGAACCCAAGAAGAAAACUCUUUGUAGAGUUCACAGUGAGAAGCACAUUCAGACAGAAAACAGAAGCAGGGGGAGAUUUGUCAGACGAGAACCAUUCAAACUUUUGUUCAGGACAAGAUCAGGGACUAUAAAAAACUCAGAGUUAAGUUUCUGACACUGAUGAAAGUCCAGCUCUGUUACUUUGAAUUUUGAUUGAUUUUGUGAAUCUUUAUGUGAAAAUCUGAAUUUUCUGGUUUAUCUGCACUUUUCUGAAGCCUUGCUGUGUUUAGACUGAAAUAUUUACCUCUCAAAGACGUGAUAUUUUUGGUUCAGCAAAGCGAAAAUAUUCUGAACCUCCUUUAUUUCCCAUCUGUCCUGAUGUCGCUGAAAUUUUCUGAAAAUAUUGAGCUGCAUCUACAAUCAGUAAAAAAGUCUCUGAGUUUUUUAUUUCACUAUUUAAUGUGUUUUUGAAUUCACAGUUUCAAACUGACUUCCUGUUUGGUUCAGCUCUUUGGAGCGUCACUUUUCUUUGAUUCAUACUUUCCAAACCUUUCCCCUGAACUCUCCAGAUUUAAGACAUCAGGUUUCAAACUGGAUCAUUUUGUCUAAAAUCUCAUUAUUUCCUUUGUAUUUAGAUUGAAUAACUGCAGUUUGACAAAGAUCAGCUGUUCUUCUCUGGCCUCAUCUCUGAAGUCCAACCCCUCCCAUCUGAGAUAUCUGGACCUGAGUAUCAACAAUCUGCAGGAUUCAGGAGUGAAGCUGCUGUGUGAUCUUCUGCAGAGUCCAAACUGUAAACUGGAGACUCUGAGGUCAGACUUUUUUCCUCCAUUCAGACAUGAUCAUGAUUUGUUUGUGAUGAUGACACUAAACUGCUGACUCAGGACUGAAAUACUGACCCAGACUGAACACCUUCAGUCCAGAGUAGAUUUUCUGCAUCAGUGGAUUAUUUGAUUGACUCCAGUUCGAUCACUGCUGAGCUCCAGUGAAUUAAAACCUGAACCCAAGAAGAAAACUCUUUGUAGAGUUCACAGUGAGAAGCACAUUCAGACAGAAAACAGAAGCAGGGGGAGAUUUGUCAGACGAGAACCAUUCAAACUUUUGUUCAGGACAAGAUCAGGGAAUAGAAAAAACUCAGUUUAGUUUCUGACACUGAUGAAAGUCCAGCUCUGUUACUUUGAAUUUUGAUUGAUUUUGUGAAUCUCUGUGUGAAAAUCUGAAUUUUCUGGUUUAUCUGCACUUUUCUGAAGCCUUGCUGUGUUUAGACUGAAAUAUUUACCUCUCAAAGACGUGAUAUUUUUGGUUCAGCAAAGUGAAAAAUAUUCUGAAUAUCCUUUAUUUCCCAUCCGUCCUGAAGUCGCUGACAUUUUCUGAAAAUAUUGAGCUGCAUCUCCAAUCAGUAAAAAAGUCUCUGAGUUUUUUAUUUCACUAUUUAAUGUGUUUUUGAAUUCACUGUUUCAAACUGACUUCCUGUUUGGUUCAGCUCUUUGAAGCGUCACUUUUCUUUGAUUCAUACUUUCCAAACCUUUCCCCUGAACUCUACAGAUUUAAGACAUCAGGUUUCAAACUGGAUCAUUUUUCUCUAAAAUCUCAUUAUUUCCUCUUUAUUUAGGUUGUAUGAAUGCAGUUUGACAAAGAUCAGCUGUUCUUCUCUGGCCUCAGCUCUGAAGUCCAACCCCUCCCAUCUGAGACGUCUGGAUCUGAAUUUCAACAAUCUGCAGGAUUCAGACAUGGAGCUGCUGUAUGAUCUUCAGAAGAGUCCAGACUACAGACUGGAGACUCUGGAGUCAGUAUAGAGUUGGAGUUAGUCUGUGCUGAUCUCUCCUGUUCCUCUCCACACAGAAUCACAGCAGAUAUUCAGUAUUUCCUGCUGACUCUUCGACCCUCUCAGAGGAUUCUUUCUUUAGUGAAGCUGUGAGAACAGAAAUCAUCAAACCAGGAGUGUAAGAGUGUCAGUGAUGAAAAAAGUGUCUCCUCGUCUCUAUAUUUCAGAUCAAAUGUAGAAAUGAAACAUAAUGAAACAGAAAUGUUCAGUUUCUGCUCUGAAGUCCAGUUUAUAGUUCUCUGUAUUCAACACAGACUUUAUUUCUCUGCUAACUUGUUGAUUUUGAGCUCUAAGUCUGAAAACAGACAGCUGUUCUUUAUACUUGUUAUUUUCACAGCAGGUUUGUUCGAUCAGCUUUAACACAUUUGACAGGAAUGAUUUCUUUAUUUUGAUGAUGUUGGUUUAUUUGUGAGGAAACCUGCUGCUGUACACCAUCACUUCUGCUCUGAGCAGGACUGAGACCUGCUGGUCUUUAAACUGGAUGUUCUUCAGUCCAGCUGAUGAAGUGAGUCUCAGAGUGGAAACACUCAUCGUCUUUUUUUCUCUCCUCAGAUGGAGAUCCUAUCAGUGAGAGUGAUUAAGAAGAGGAUCAUGUGUUUCCUGAUGCUCAGAGAGGUGGAGGCAGCGGUGUGUCGGUGUGUUUAGUUGGUCUUAGUUUUUAUGAAGCAGGAACUUUGAUUUGAUCGUCUUUUCUUGGAAAUCAAAGUUCCUGUUGGACUCAAAGAUAAAGUCUGUGAUCCCCGUCAGGUUUGAAGACUUAAAUUUCACAGCAGAGUGAUUGUGGCUCUGAGUCGGGAUGUUUGGACAUUUGUUUCAUGUGUUUUUAUUUGUGAUAUUCUCUCUAAGGUGGGUUAUUGUUCAUUCAAAGUAUGUGGUGGACAAAUCCACACAUCUAACAAAAAAAAGGUAAAAUAUGAAGAUUUCUGCAUGACAUCAACGAUAUAAUAGAUAUAAUUUUCUAAGCAACAGGUGGUCGUCUCUUAUAGGGGGUACUUUGAUCCAGAAAUCAAAAGCAAUCGAAGAAAGACACACGUCUGUCUGUCUGAUGUUUAGUGCCUUCCUUUUUAGUCUGGCUUUUAGCUGAUUUGUGUUUGAUUCUUCUAGCCUCUCUUCUAGUCUACUCUUUUUAUCUCACGUAUUUCACUCCACUUUAG